ensembl:lncRNA
UUAAUUCUAACUUAUCUUUCUCUGUUGCUGGUGUUUAUAGAGGUGUUUCUAGAACCCUAAUGUCAUUGUUGCCUCUGCCUUUUCCAGUCAUUCUAGAAUUGUCUUGUUAAGCAAGAAUUAAACUUGGAUAGAAAAUCAGCUUCUACCUUAAUAACAAGCAGAGCUCUGCAUUUCUCUAACAUUGUGACAUCAUGGCAAGAGUGGCAGGAGAGAAGAUGUAUGUUCAGAGGCAGCCUGAGCUGCCUGUGUUCCCAAGGCAUCCUUUCUAAGGAAUCCAGGCCAAGGUCACCACCACCACACGUGCUUUCUGUGGCAGCCUCAUAGCAGAGAUGUCAUUGGCAAUGUUGAGCCUUCUGAAGAGGAAAAGACAGCCAGCGCUUCUGUUGUUCUCAUAUUCUGCAUAUUUUAUUGCCUUCACCAAUGGAUGGCAACACAAAGUUUUGUGGAUCUACUGAUUGUUAAUACAGUGGUGCCUCUGCCGUUUCAUAAAGGUCAUUCUGUCACAAAUCUUGUCUGCAGAGGCUCAUUCAGCUAAAGACUCCACAAAACUUGGCUUCACCUCUGCUCAUUUCAACAGUUUAGUGAAGAAAUGACACGUCAUCUGAUUAUCUGAUGCUAUAGCCAGUGGUUUAAGUUUAUGAUCUCAUCGUCAACUUAACAAAGAUGUCAUAGACUUUUCUGAUUGUAAAAUGAAUGGCUAUCCAGGAGUGAAGGAUUGCUCCAUUCCACAUCCUUACUUUCUUGACCUUUGGGCUUUGGUGGGACCUUUGAAAGCAUUUGACAAUGUACCCAAAUUUGUAAAUUAACAAAGUCUCAGAGACCCUUAAGUGACAAGGCAUACAGUGAUCGUAAACAUACCCUAAUUGAAACCUUUUGUAUUGGUAAAUGAGAAAAUGAGGUUCAGAGAUAUUACACUAUUAUAAAGAGAAGAGCUGGUGGUGGCAUGCAGGUUUAACCCUCCUCCUAGUUCUUGUCCUUCCUCGCUCAUUUAACCAACUGACUGCUUAUGGAAUGCCAGGCAUUAUGUAAGGUGCUAGAGAGUCAACAGCAAUAAAAACAGUUUCUGCUUGGAGGCCUUAUAAUCUAGUAUGGAAGGCAGACAAGAAGAGGAAAGUAUAAUAAGUACUGGUAUAGGGAUUUCAGCCUUUCUGUCCGCAUGCCCAGUACCUGAUCUGUUCAUAAUGGAUCCUUGUAAGUGAGUCUUGCAUCUUGGGGCUAUUUUGAAUCAUAUUCUGGGAAACUCUCCACCAUUCUUUCAGGAUACCAGAAUGUCAAGAACUCAAGGAUCAUUGACACCCUGUGAUCAAGUCUUUCAUCUUACCUAUUAGGCAAUUUCAUUGUAUUAAGAUCAAUUUGGUGGAAAUUUAUCUAUGAAAGUUCAGCAGUAACACUACAUUUCUGAUGAAGUCUUGACAGUUUAAAGUUGACAAUAAAUGCCAAAAGCUUACCUUUUUAAAACUCUUCAAUAGGCCUAACCUAUGUAAAGCAUUGCAAAUAAAGUUAAAGUUGACGUCAACGUUUGUAUAGACAAUAAUAAUGGGCUAGGUUGGCAUUCACUGUAAGUCAAAGAAUAAAAUGUGGUAUUCUCCAAAAAGGUGAAAACCUAAAGAACUGACGGUAGAGGAGAGGACAUUAUUUUUACUAGAAUAUGUAGAAAAAUGCAAUUCAAAACUACUGGAAAAGUCACUGUAGAAGACUAAUAUGGCAUUUAGUUAGAAGCUCUGGGCAAAAAGAACCAAAAUCCAGAUAAUUAUGAUAGACAUGUUUCUAAUAAUUUUAUUAUCAUGAGUCCUGAAUAUCAACUAUGUAUUCAUAUUGAAGCUGAAGUUCUGAUGAGAUAGUGGCAUCUUCAUUGGUAAUUGGGCCCGAUGAAGACACAAUGUCUUGUAUCAUAAAUUAGUACUUAAUUGACUGAUUUUUCUUUGUUUCUAAUAAAGAAACAUGAAAGAAAAGACAUACAGAAGGCUUGAAAAGGGUAGAAAGCUCAUUCAAUGUAAAUAUACAGCAUCUAAGAGAAAAGUGAAGAGAUUUAAAUGAAGCUGUCCAGCAGGAGGAAGCAAUAGACUUGUGGAGGCAGACAUGCUUGUUAAGAAGCUCAGUAUGUGAGAGCUCUGAGCGGAUUGGUUCAGUGGAUAAUGGGAAGCCGAUAUUGAGUGAAGAUAAGCAUUAUUCAAGCUGUAAAUCAAGAAAAUUAAAAGACUCAGAAGGUACGGUUAAAAUAGCAGACUCUCUGGAACUGCGCUUCAUUGAGAGUGCCUGGAAACUACUGUCUGCUGGCACGGUUGGCUCUAUUAGUGUGGGGAAAAUGAUUUGUGCUGAUAGUAAUUUCAUCAGAAGAUCUCAGUGCUUCACAAACAUUUCAAAAUGUUCUCCAUGGAUUUUUGAUGCAAGUUCACC